AUUCAUUUUGACGUUUAGCUGCAGAAGAAGCACCGGCUAACUCCGUGCCAGCAGCCGCGGUAAUUACGGAGGGUUGCGAGCGUUUAAUCGGAAUUUACUGGGCGUUAAAGCGCAUGCAGGUGGUUUGUUAAGUCAGAUGUGAAAGCCCCGGGGCUCAACCUCGGAAUUGCAUUUGAAAACUGGCAAACUAGAGUACUGUAGAGGGGGUAGAAUUUCAGGUGUAGCGGUGAAAUGCGUAGAGAUCUGAAGGAAUACCGGUGGCGAAGGCGGCCCCCUGGACAGAUACUGACACUCAGAUGCGAAAGCGUGGGGAGCAAACAGGAUUAGAUACCCUGGUAG
rnacentral:rRNA from 1 species